rnacentral:lncRNA from 1 species
GCACUUUUUCCGCACUCCGGCACCCUCCCGCCUGUAGAUUUGGGCCUUUUCUCACACCAGGGACUGGCAGAGCGCGCAGGCGCGGUGCACACAAGGCCGUGGAGCAGACGUUAGAUCUCAAGAUGCCCCCCUUCCCACCCCCAUGGUCAGUUCUGUGCACACAUCUCUCACAGCAGAGAACAGGGAAGGGCCAGCAGGGGUAGGGGCUGCUUUUGUUCACCAAGCCCCAUUUCAUCCAGAAUGCCAAUGCAUAUGGAGCUCCAGAGUUCUGGAACUAGGCGAACAUACAAGUGGAGGCUUCAGCUAGCCUCAGAUGGAAGAUGGAGGCAGGAAGGACAUCAGAGCCCAGGAGGGCAACUGGAGCCACAGGCUGCCUCUCUCCCAGCAGCUCUACGAAGUUCUGGCUGAAAAGUUAUCCCAGACAACUACAUGUGAUGUGGAAGAACACGAACACUGGUAUCCACUGUGGGCACCUUACAUUCUUUAUGCCACCUAAUAUGGCCAAGAGACAGACAUGUAUGUGUACCCACGGAGGGAACAGAUUCAAGAGGCCAAGGGACUUACCCUAGGCCAGCACACCUGCAGCUGGAGUUCAAGUGCACAUUUCCCCUCUCAGGCUUUGGCUCUACCUUUUGCAAAUAAAGGCUGGCCACCCAUGUGAGCCAACUAAAAUAACCUUCCCUCCCCAGAC